GCCAGUGUGGCGUAGUGCUUUGAGUGUUGGACUAUGACUUUGGACACUAGGGUUCGAUUCCCCACUCAGCCA